CCUUUCCUGCAAGAAGUCGGGCGUGUGGGGGUCCCGUUGGUUCGGCUCUGCAGAGGCUGCCUGGGGGCGCCUGCUGGGAUCCGAAUUUGCAAGGAUCUCUAAUUCAGACAGACAGAACUUGGCAGAAGAUCAAGGGAUUCCUUCAUCUCUCUUGCAGGCUUCCUGAGAGCACAGAUGGAUGAGGAAAACUCAGCUGGCCCUGAAGCAGGAAGAUGCCAUGCCAUCAGAACUGGGAGCAGUGGGGGAUUCUGGGAAAAAACUGUGCAGAAGAUCCUGGGUGAGGAGGACACUCUCCGCUCAGAGGCGCAGAGCCAGCAGUUCAGGCAGUUCUGCUUCCAGGAGGCCAAAGGACCUCGAGAGGUUUGCAGCCGACUCUACAACCUUUACCAUCAAUGGCUGAAGCCAGAAAGGCACACGAAAGCUGAGAUGCUGGACCUGGUGAUCUUGGAGCAGUUCCUGGCCGUCCUUCCACCGGAGAUGGAGAGCUGGGUGAGGGAAUGCGGAGCAGAGACCAGUUCCCAGGCGGUGGCCCUGGCUGAAGGUUUCCUCCUGAGUCAGGCAGAGGAGAGAAAGCAGGCAGAGCAGCAGAGACAGGAUCUGUUUGCAGAAAUGGGCCCAGAUUCCUCUGAGACCAAAAGGACUCUGUUGAACACCAGAGAGAGGCUGCUGGGUGACCAGAUGAUGCCAGGAAGACCUCCUCUUCCAUCUAUUCCUGGUGGGGAAGGAGAAGCAACGGCUGUGGAAGCAGCUCAGGGUCCAGUGUGCUUUGAAGAUGUCGCUGUUCAUUUCACAGAUGAGGAAUGGGCGUUGCUGGAUCCUGACCAGAGAGCUCUGCAUAAGGAAGUCAUGGAGGAGAAUUGUGGGAUCGUGGCCUCUCUCAGUGGUGAUGAUUUGGAAAUUGAGAGCGAGGACGCCCAUGACAGAAUGCACACAGUGGAGAAGCCAUUGCCAUUCUUGGAGUGUGGAGAGAGCUUCAGUCACAGCUCCCAUUCGACUACCCACCAAAGAAAUGCUAUUGGGAAGAAACCCUCUCAGUUCUCUGAAUGGGGGAAAGCUUUCUGUUGGAAUGAAAGCCUCACUUCACAAGAAAUAAUUCCCACAGGGGAAGACCCACUGAAAUGCUUGGAAUGUGGAAAGAGCUUCAGUAAGAGUGCACAUCUCAUUUCGCAUCAAAUAAUUCAUACAGGCAAGAAACCCUAUCAGUGCUUGGAAUGUAGGAAAAGCUUUAAUACAAGCAAAACCUUCCGUAAACACCAGAGAAUUCACAGGAGGGAGAAGCCAUUUGAAUGCCGAGAGUGUGGAAAGAGCUUCAGUCAGAGAACCCAUCUCACAGCCCAUCAAAUAAUUCAUACAGGUGAGAAACCCUAUCAGUGCUCGGAAUGUGGGCGGAGCUUCAAUCACAGGACGACUCUCACGGUCCAUCAAAGGAUUCACAGUGGUGAGAAACCCUAUCAGUGCUCAGAAUGUGGGAAGAGUUUCACUGUGAGCUCCCAUCUCACUUCCCACCAAAGAAUUCAUACCGGGGAGAAACCAUAUCAGUGUGUGAAUUGUGGAAAGGGCUUCACCCAAAAGGCAAGUCUCACUUCCCAUCAAAGAAUUCACAGUGGUGAAAAACCUUAUCAAUGCAUGGAAUGUGGGAAGAGCUUCAGUCGGAAGCAAAGUCUCACUUCCCACCAAAGAAUUCACAGUGGUGAGAAACCCUAUCAGUGCUCGGAAUGUGGAAAGAGUUUCUCCCAGAGAGCCAAUCUCAGUUCCCACCAAAGAAUUCACACAGGUGAAAAACCCUAUCAGUGCUUGGAAUGUGGAAAGAACUUCAGUCUCAGGGCCCAUCUUGCUACCCAUCAAAGCAUUCAUACCGGGGAGAAACCCUAUCGAUGCUUGGAUUGUGGAAAGAGUUUCCUACAGAGAGCCGAUCUCACUUCUCACCAAAGAAUUCACACAGGGGAGAAACCCUAUCAGUGCUUGGAAUGCGGAAAGAGUUUCUGCCAGAGAGCCAAUCUCACUUCUCACCAAAGAAUUCACACAGGGGAGAAACCCUAUAAGUGCUUGGAAUGUGGGAAGAGCUUCAGUCUGAAGCAAAGUCUCCCUUCCCAUCAAAGCAUUCAUACCGGGGAGAAACCCUAUCGAUGCUUGGAUUGUGGAAAGAGUUUCUGCCAGAGAGCCGAUCUCACUUCCCACCAAAGAAUUCACACAGGAGAGAAACCCUAUCAGUGCUUGGAAUGUGGGAAGAGUUUCCGCCAGAAAGUCAACCUCACGUCCCACCAAAGAAUUCACACAGGGGAGAAACCCUAUAAGUGCUUGGAAUGUGGGAAGAGUUUCCACCAGAAAGUCAACCUCACGUCCCACCAAAGAAUUCACACAGGGGAGAAACCCUAUAAGUGCUUGGAAUGUGGAAAGAGCUUCAGUCAUAAGCAAAGUCUCCCUUCCCAUCAAAGAAUUCACAGUGGUGAGAAACCUUAUCAGUGCUUGGAAUGUGGAAAGGGCUUUGGUAAGAGGACCAAGCUCAUGGCCCAUGGACGAACUCACAGUGGUGAGAAACCCUAUCAAUGCUUGGAUUGUGGAAAGAGUUUCAGCCAAAGGGCCAAUCUAACUUGCCAUGAAAGAAUUCACACAGGGGAGAAACCAUAUCACUGCUUGGAAUGUGGGAAGAGCUUCAACCAGAAGCAAAGUCUCACUUCCCACCAAAGAAUUCACACAGGGGAGAAACCUUAUCAGUGCUUGGAAUGUGGAAAGAGCUUUGGUAAGAGGACCAAGCUCAUGGCUCACCAAAGAAUUCACAGUGGUGAGAAACCCUAUCAAUGUGUGAAAUGUGGAAAGAGUUUCUGCCAGAAAGCCCAUCUCACUUCCCACCAAAGAAUUCACACAGGGGAGAAACCAUAUCAGUGCUUGGAAUGUGGGAAGAGCUUCAGUAAGAGGACCAACCUCACUUCCCACCAAAGAAUUCACAGUGGUGAGAAACCAUAUCAGUGCUUGGAAUGUGGAAAGAGCUUCAGUAAGAGGACCAACCUCAUGGCCCAUCAAAGAACCCACACUGGGGAGAAACCCUAUCAGUGCUUGGAAUGUGGGAAGAGCUUCACCCGGAAGGACAACCUCACUUCCCACCAAAGAAUUCACAGUGGUGAGAAACCAUAUCAGUGCUUGGAAUGUGGAAAGAGCUUCGGUAAGAGGACCAAGCUCAUGGCCCAUCAAAGAGUUCAUACAGGGGAGAAUCAUAGAAUUUUAGACCUGCAGGAGACUUCUGGGUCGUCUAGUCCACUGCAGGACUCUCAACUAAAGCUUCUAUGACAUACUGCCUUCAAACUUCUCCUUACAAACCUCCAAGGAAGGAGAGUACACAAGCUACCAAGGGUGUCUCUAAUCUGAAGCCAUUGAUUUGUGUGCCAGCCUCCAGAGCCGGUGAAAACAAGCUUGUUCAAGCUUCCACGUGACAGCCCUUCCUGUUCCUCAGAAGGCUUGGUUUCCCAACGCUUAAUUGUCUUGCUCACCCCCCUCUGCACACCUUCCAGCUUGUCAAAAUCCUUCUUAAAUUGGGGCACCCAGAACUGGACACAGGACUCCAGGUGUGGUCUGAACAAGGCAGAAGAAAGUGGGGCUAUUACUUUUCUUGAUCUGGACACUUGACUUCUUUGGACGCAGCCUAGAAUAACAGCCUAUUUCGCUGAUGUUGACUCAUGUUAGUCUUGUGGUCCACUAAGACCCCAGGUCUUUUCCACAUGUACUACUGACAAGCCUGGUAUGUCCCAUCUUAUAUUUGUGCACCUGAUUCGUCUUGCCUAAGAGCAGAAUCUUACCUUUCUUCUUAGCGAAAUUUAUUGGAUGCCUUUCUAUACCACCUGUUUCUUCAAGAAGCUCAGUGUGGUCUUAAGUCAUUCUCCCCCUCAUCGUUUAAUCCUGACAACAACCCUGUGAGGUAGGUUGGGCUGUGAAGCCAUCACCCAGUGACUGAGUGGAGAUUGGAACCCAGGUCUCCCAGUUCCUAGUCCAAAACUCUUAAGCACUGCACCCCACUGACUCUCGAAUGAGACUCUUGGAAAGUGCAUGCAUGCACAUUUACUGAAAGUUUCAGUGCAAUGUCUUGGUGUUUGUAUUUAAAGUUUUAUACGCAUGUAUCAAUGACAUUAAUAUAAUAAUGGUAAUUACAGUAGAAGAGUAAAUUUUAGGAAAUGCUAGAUGGUGAUAGGGGUAGUUUGGAGUUCGGAAUGCUGGGAUUGAGCAAUUGAACUGAACAAUUUCCACAUAAAUCACAAGAUCUAAAAUAUAAAAACAAAACACCAACAGCAACAACCCCCCCAAAAAACCCCAAAUUCAAGAGUCUGUUCAGCAGCCUCAGCUUUUGCAGCUGGAGUCAAUCCAGGCUCUGCCCUCCCAGGCUAGGUGGAAAAGGUCUCUAAGGAGAGAGCCCGUCUUCUGGGACUUGCAGCCAAGAUGGUUGGCUGCCACCAUUGGAGGGUGGAAUGGAAUGGGACGGUGGUGGCAAUUGUGGAGCAGGGUUGUAGAGAGAAACAGCAUUAUAAUCCCCGUUGUUGCAGCUGUAGCAAAGUUUCAAAAGAAAAAGAAAAGAAAUGAGAACAUUUGAAACCACAUGUUUAUGUCUAUUUUUAAAAGAAAUCAGUUUAAUGAA